rnacentral:rRNA from 1 species
UGGGGAAUCUUGCACAAUGGGGGCAACCCUGAUGCAGCGACGCCGCGUGAGCGAUGAAGCCCUUCGGGGCGUAAAGCUCUUUCGACCGGAACGAUAAUGACGGUACCGGGAGAAGAAGCUGCGGCUAACUACGUGCCAGCAGCCGCGGUAAUACGUAGGCAGCAAGCGUUGUUCGGAGUUACUGGGCGUAAAGAGUGCGUAGGCGGUUUUCUAAGUUCGGUGUGAAAUCUCCCGGCUUAACUGGGAGGGUGCGCCGAAGACUGGGAAGCUGGAGUGUGGGAAAGGCAGGCGGAAGUCCUGGUGUAGCGGUGAAAUGCGUAGAUAUCAGGAAGAACACCGGCGGUGUAGACGGCUUGCUAGACCAUAACUGACGCUGAGGCACGAAAGCGUGGGUAGCAAACA